rnacentral:tRNA from 1 species
UGUAAAAUGGCUGAGUUAUAGGCGAUAGAUUGUAGCUCUAUUAACGGAGUUAAUUCUUCUUUUACAA